UACGUAGGGGGCAAGCGUUGUCCGGAAUCAUUGGGCGUAAAGAGCGUGUAGGCGGCCAGGUAGGUCUGCUGUGAAAACUCGAGGCUUAACCUCGAGCUGUCGGCGGAAACCAUCUGGCUAGAGUCCGGAAGAGGAGAGUGGAAUUCCUGGUGUAGCGGUGAAAUGCGCAGAUAUCAGGAAGAACACCAAUGGCGAAGGCAGCUCUCUGGGACGGUACUGACGCUGAGACGCGAAAGCGUGGGGAGCGAACAGG
rnacentral:rRNA from 1 species